CUGCAAAUAUUUUUGCUGUUCUGAUUUUGUAAUAAUCAGGGCAGGCUAAAUAUUCACUAUAUUAAGACCAUGAAUGUGGGGGCGCCUGGGUGGCUCAGUCAGUUGUGCAUCUGACUUCAGCUCAAGUCAUGAUU